GAAAUGCGCUAAGUAAUGUGAAUUGCAGAAUUCCGUGAAUCAUCGAAUCUUUGAACGCACAUUGCGCCCUCUGGCAUUCCGGGGGGCAUGCCUGUCCGAGCGUCAUUACGCACCCUCAAGCCCGGCUUGUGUGAUGGGCCCCGGCGUCUCGUUCGCGAGACGGGCCCGAAAGGCAGCGGCGGCGUCGACCCGAUGAGCCCGAGCGUAUGGGGACUUCUGUCACACGUUCGCGGUGCGGACCGGCGCCUGCUUGACUUUUCUGAUUAUCCAGGUUGACCUCGGAUCAGGUAGGGAUACCCGCUGAACUUAAGU
rnacentral:misc_RNA from 1 species